ACAGAGGAGAGAGCGACGAGCGACAGAGGAGAGAGCGACAGAGGAAAGAGGAGACAGCGACGGAGGAGAGAACGGAGUGUGAUUGAACGGAGAGAAAAGUGACGAUGAGAACGGUUGAGUGUUACACGAAGGACGGAAGAAGAAGAAGGCGCCGAAAAAUUGUUUUCCCUGUUGUCACGUUAUUUUUAAAAUUACAUGUUAGUAUUGCUAUCGAUCGGAGAGACUAACGGGUGACGAUCUGGAAGUCGAACUGAGUUCAUUGUUUGUGACAUUUUGUACGUGAUUGAUUUUUCAAAUGGUUGCAGUAUUUUUUGCAUUUUUUUAAGUCUUAGUACUGUUCCGUUUCGUUUUUUCUUUGCCAUAGAGAUGCAUUUAUUAGUUAUUAUUGUAUGGAUUUUGUGUGAUAGGGAUUUAAGCGUGAUUGAAUUAUUGUUUUGUGCUGUCGAUGCGUGAAUUUUGUUCGUAUAGAUUUAUUUUGUUGUGGAUAUUAACCAUUUUUUUUUAACCAG